UCCCUGGUGGCUCAGUGGUAAAGAAUCUGCUUGCCAAUGCAGGAGACUCAGGUUCGAUUCCUGGUUCAGGAA
rnacentral:tRNA from 1 species